rnacentral:rRNA from 1 species
AUUGAACGCUGGCGGCAUGCCUUACACAUGCAAGUCGGACGGCAGCACGGGAGCAAUCCUGGUGGCGAGUGGCGAACGGGUGAGUAAUACAUCGGAACGUGUCCUGGAGUGGGGGAUAGCCCGGCGAAAGCCGGAUUAAUACCGCAUACGCUCUAAGGAGGAAAGCGGGGGAUCUUUCGGGACCUCGCGCUCAAGGGGCGGCCGAUGGCAGAUUAGCUAGUUGGUGGGGUAAAGGCCUACCAAGGCGACGAUCUGUAGCUGGUCUGAGAGGACGACCAGCCACACUGGGACUGAGACACGGCCCAGACUCCUACGGGAGGCAGCAGUGGGGAAUUUUGGACAAUGGGCGCAAGCCUGAUCCAGCAAUGCCGCGUGUGUGAAGAAGGCCUUCGGGUUGUAAAGCACUUUUGUCCGGAAAGAAAACCUCCUGGUUAAUACCCGGGGGGGAUGACGG